rnacentral:tRNA from 1 species
GAGGGUAUAGCUCAAGUGGUAGAGCACCUGCUUAGCAUGCACAAGGUCCUGGGUUCAAUCCCCAGUACCUCCU